ACUUUUGUGCAAACCUUAUUUAACAAUUUCAGUAGUUGUCACUAAGCUUUAUUUCCUUGUAUGCAUGUGUGUCCGUACAUUUUUGUGUGUUAAACAUUCACACUUUCUUGAUAUCACAAAAUCUGACCAUUUGCUGUAUUGCUACAUGCAUAUUGUAUUUAGUCUCUUGUAACGCUAUAAUGUGACACAAGUAGUAAAUUUUUGCAGGACAAAUGUAUUGUGAAGCAGGCGCUAUUUGGAAAAACCCAUUUAAAUUACAAAAAAAAAAAUUUGCGGCUGAUUUUGUUGAGGAAAAGUGUCGGAGUGCAUGAAGCAUUUACUGAAGUAAAGCAGAGGCCUAGUAUUGCGAAGCUUAGUAGUGCUGUAGUAAUAGCGAAUAGCCAAUAUUGGUUACGACUAGUAUUAUGCGAACAGAUACGGUAGUCUUCACAGAGAAUGUGCACUUGCUUAAAUGUUGAUCCUUUAGCGUAUAUGUAUGUCAGCUUGAUCAUGUUGCCCUUAGCCAUGAUGAAAACCAUGCGCGUCAUCUGACUGGCCUUCCAGCGGUUGGGCCAUCCUUGCUUCCUUUCGUCGCUCGGUUCUCGGGCGACGAAAGACUCUGCGAGGUAGUCUGGCAUAGAAAGCUCAAGAUGCUGGCUUUUUCUGAGCUUAAA